AUCACUUUUGAGCCUUUUGGCUAAGAUGAGGUAACUUUUCUCAACAAUUUAAUACCUGGUACGUUCUCCUAUCCAAGGACGAUAUGGUAAAUGGGUUUUUGGAGCCAGGAGAUAGAGUAGGAGCUCACUCCACCUCCUCCAUGCAUAGGCUGGUAUUGUAGUACCUCCAGGAACUGUGGACCCUGU
ensembl:snRNA U2 U2 spliceosomal RNA